rnacentral:rRNA from 1 species
UUAUAGGAUGGAGAUGGGCUCGCGUGACAUUAGCUAGUUGGUGGGGUAACGGCCCACCAAGGCGACGAUGUCUAGGGGCUCUGAGAGGAGAAUCCCCCACACUGGUACUGAGACACGGACCAGACUCCUACGGGAGGCAGCAGUAAGGAAUAUUGGUCAAUGGGCGGAAGCCUGAACCAGCCAUGCCGCGUGCAGGAUGACUGCCCUAUGGGUUGUAAACUGCUUUUGUCCGGGAAUAAACCUCCUUACGAGUAGGGAGCUGAAUGUACCGGAAGAAUAAGGAUCGGCUAACUCCGUGCCAGCAGCCGCGGUAAUACGGAGGAUCCGAGCGUUAUCCGGAUUUAUUGGGUUUAAAGGGUGCGUAGGCGGCCUGUUAAGUCAGGGGUGAAAUACGGUGGCUCAACCAUCGCAGUGCCUUUGAUACUGACGGGCUUGAAUCCAUAUGAAGUGGGCGGAAUAAGACAAGUAGCGGUGAAAUGCAUAGAUAUGUCUUAGAACUCCGAUUGCGAAGGCAGCUCACUAAGCUGGUAUUGACGCUGAUGCACGAAAGCGUGGGGAUCGAACAGGAUUAGAUACCCUGGUAGUCCACGCCCUAAACGAUGAUAACUCGAUGUUGGCGAUAGACAGCCAGCGUCCCAGCGAAAGCGUUAAGUUAUCCACCUGGGGAGUACGCCCGCAAGGGUGAAACUCAAAGGAAUUGACGGGGGCCCGCACAAGCGGAGGAGCAUGUGGUUUAAUUCGAUGAUACGCGAGGAACCUUACCCGGGCUUGAAAGUUAGUGGAGGAUGCAUAGACGCAUCCGUCCUUCGGGACACGAAACUAGGUGCUGCAUGGCUGUCGUCAGCUCGUGCCGUGAGGUGUUGGGUUAAGUCCCGCAACGAGCGCAACCCCUAUGUUUAGUUGCCAGCAUGUUAUGGUGGGGACUCUAAACAGACUGCCUGUGCAAACAGUGAGGAAGGUGGGGACGACGUCAAGUCAUCAUGGCCCUUACGUCCGGGGCUACACACGUGCUGCAAUGGACGGUACAGCGGGCAGCUAGCUGGCAACAGCAU